AACGCACAUUGCGCCCUAUGGUAUUCCAUAGGGCAUGCCUGUUCGAGCGUCAUUUGUACCUUCAAGCUCUGCUUGGUGUUGGGUGUUUGUCCCGCCUUUGUGCGCGGACUCGCCUUAAAGCAAUUGGCAGCCGACGUCUAGGUUUCGGAGCGCAGCACAAAUCGCGCUCUGUGUCCUGGUACGGCGGCGUCCAUCAAGACUAUUUUACACUCUUGACCUCGGAUCAGGUAGGGAUACCCGCUGAACUUAA
rnacentral:misc_RNA from 2 species